rfam:Ipomoea nil DNA, scaffold: scaffold1250, cultivar: Tokyo-kokei standard.
GUCAAUAUGUCCAAGUGGUUAAGGAGAUAGACUCGAAAUUUAUUGGGCUUUUCCUGCGCAGGUUCGAAUCUUGCUGGUGAUG